GGUUAAGCCCCGGGGGGAGGGAGCUGCUGCAGCUUAUCCCCUGACAUCUGGAACUCCCUCUUCUCUCUGAUGUCCUUACUCUUCCUUCCCUAACCUAAUCUGUCGAAUGAAAAUCGGUUGUGGCGAAAGCCAGUGCUGGAUAGGUAGAUGUCUGGUAGAUACGUGCAGCCUGGGAUGCGUUUGUUAUCCCUAAUGGGUCGGGAAGCUGUCCUGGAAGGGGGUCGUCACCACGGAAACACACCUCAUCCAUCCAGGGUCCUGCAGAGGCACGGUGGUGCUCGGCAGCAGGGCAGGGAUUCGCUGUGAGGCUGAGUGCGGUCUCGGUGGAACCGAACCACCGCCGUAGCUGUAGGCUGGAAGCGGAACGGGGCGUUCAUUAGUGUCCGUGUGCAGCAGGGAGAGACGGGUGUCGGGGCAGGAGCGGUGCCUCGGUGAUGGCCAGGGACUGAACCGACACAGCCACAGCACACUGCCACAGCACUGCAAUGCUUGUCCUGGCUAGUGCGAAUGUCAGCCCACUCCCAGUGUUACUUUCUUCUAUUUCAGUCUCUACUGAAACCACUUAAUGUCCUGCCAAUUCGCAUUAACUCUCUCCUUUUAUGUAAUGAGACAGUGUAAAGAGCAAUCAUGUCAGUUAUCGAUUAGAGAAUGGGCAGUUUCACUUCGUAAAGAAGUGACACCUCUCUGUAUUGGCAGCCUGGGAAGCAUCUUUACUCUCUGGAGAUACACUUCUUGAGACCACGAAGCCUCCAACAGAACUGAAGGCUUAAAAAGGAAGACCAGUUUCAGUUGAGAGCUGAGCCCUCUAUCUCAGUGUGGUGGCCUGUGUUACCACAAAUAGGGGUACCAGUAACAUCCUCAGAAUCCCCAAACUGGCUUACCCCUUGGUGUUCUAAACUUGGCCAAAAUAAAACCGUAUCAGAGAGGCUUUUUCUGUAAUGAUGACAGCAUCAAG